rnacentral:rRNA from 1 species
AUUGAACGCUGGCGGCGUGCUUAACACAUGCAAGUCGAUCGGUAACGCGGGGGCAACCCUGGCGACGAGAGGCGGACGGGUGAGGAACGCUUGGGAAUCUGCCUAUCAGCGGGGGACAACACGGGGAAACUCGUGCUAAUACCGCAUACGCUCUACGGAGGAAAGCCGGGGACCGCAAGGCCUGGCACUGAUAGAUGAGCCCACGCCGGAUUAGCUAGUUGGCGGGGUAACGGCCCACCGAGGCGACGAUCCGUAGCCGGUCUGAGAGGACGAUCAGCCACAAUGGCAAUGAGACACGGGCAAAACUCCUACGGGAGGCAGCAGUGGGGAAUAUUGGACAAUGGGCGAAAGUCUGACCCAGCGGCGCCGCGUGGGUGAAGAAGGCCUGCGGGUCGUAAAGCCCUUUUGGCAGGGACGAAAGCGCUCGACCUCAACGGUCCCGAGCUUGACGUAAUCUACACAAGAAGCACCGGCUAACUCUGUGCCAGCCGCCGCCGUAAAAC